AGAAAAGGAAGAGGUCCACAAGGGACGA
rnacentral:piRNA from 1 species